UACGUAGGGAGCAAGCGUUGUCCGGAAUCAUUGGGCGUAAAGCGCGUGUAGGCGGUCCGGUAAGUCCGCUGUGAAAGUCGGGGGCUCAACCCUCGGAUGCCGGUGGAUACUGUCGGGCUUGAGUACGGAAGAGGCGAGUGGAAUUCCUGGUGUAGCGGUGAAAUGCGCAGAUAUCAGGAGGCACACCAAUUGCGAAGGCAGCUCGCUGGGACGUUACUGACGCUGAGACGCGAAAGCGUGGGGAGCAAACAGG
rnacentral:rRNA from 1 species